GUGUUGUGUUGUAAGGGCGCAUGGUGGAUGCCUUGGCAUAGUAGGCCGAUGAAGGACGUGAGAGGCUGCGAUAGGCCUCGGGGAGCUGCCAACUGAGCGUUGAUCCGAGGGUGUCCGAAUGGGGAAACCUGGCCGUCGUUGUGGGCGGUCGCCGUUAGAUGAAUUCAUAGUCUAAUUGGUGGUUACGCGGGGAAGUGAAACAUCUCAGUACCCGUAGGAGUAGAAAACAAUUGUGAUUCCGUUAGUAGUGGCGAACGAACGUGGAUGAGGCUAAACCGCGUGCGUGUGAUACCUGGCAGGGUUUGCGUGCGUGGGGUUGUGGGGAUGCAUUGUGCAGGGUCUGCUAGCCCUGCGUUGUGUUGUGUGGGUGUAGCGGAAGUGGAUUGGAAUGUCCUGCCGUAGACGGUGAGAGUCCGGUACGUGAAACACCCGUGCGUGCAAUUGGUGUGUUGCCCGAGUAGCAGCGGGCUCGUGGAAUCUGCUGUGAAUCUGCCGGGACCACCCGGUAAGCCUAAAUACCUGCUUAUGACCGAUAGCGGAUUAGUACCGUGAGGGAAUGGUGAAAAGUACCCCGGGAGGGGAGUGAAAUAGUACCUGAAACCAUGUGCUUACAAUCCGUCAGAGCCCUUUUUUGUGGGGUGAUGGCGUGCCUUUUGAAGAAUGAGCCUGCGAGUCAGCGGCAUGUCGCGAGGUUAACCCGUUUGGUGGGGUAGUCGUAGCGAAAGCGAAUACUAACUAGUGUGUUGUCAGUGGCAUGUCCUGGACCCGAAGCGGGGUGAUCUACCCAUGGCCAGUGUGAAGCAGAGGUAAGACUCUGUGGAGGCGCGAACCCACUUAGGUUGAAAACUGAGGGGAUGAGUUGUGGGUAGGGGUGAAAGGCCAAUCAAACUCCGUGAUAGCUGGUUCUCCCCGAAAUGCAUUUAGGUGCAGCGUCGUGUGUUUCCUCCUGGAGGUAGAGCUACUGGUUGGUUUAGCGGGACUAUCAUCUUAGCGACAUCAGCCAAACUCCGAAUGCCGGUGAGGUCAGAGCACGGCAGUGAGACUGCGGGGGAUAAGCUUCGUAGUCGAGAGGGAAACAGCCCAGAUCGCCGGCUAAGGCCCCUAAGGGUGUGCUAAGUGGAAAAGGAUGUGGGAUCGCGAAGACAACCAGGAGGUUGGCUUAGAAGCAGCCAUCCUUGAAAGAGUGCGUAAUAGCUCACUGGUCGAGUGGUUCUGCGCCGACAAUGUAGUGGGGCUCAAGUACACCGCCGAAGCCGCGGCAAUCACCUUUU
rnacentral:rRNA from 1 species